CUGAGGCAGUUCAUGAUUGUUUUCAUCAUU
rnacentral:piRNA from 1 species